CAGCAGCAGAGGACUUCUGACUGGGGAAAAAAUUUAGGAGACAUGUGGCAGGGUUUGGGCUAUUAUUUCUGCUUGGGAUUCUCAGAGAAUAACGGAUCGAUAACAAGUCUCUAUUUGAGGAGAGGAAGCAAUGCAGAUGCAAGGCCAUCGGAUGUAUCCUUGCUUGGGUACCAUGGCCUGGGCCCAGGCCUUACCUUAACCUCUUCCUCCAGCUGCCUCUUGAGGUCCUCCAGCUGCUGGGUGUAGGUGAGCUUGCCUCGGGUCAGCUGCGAGAUCAGUGCCUCCUUCUCAUCCAGCUGCCGGGACAGCUCACCUGGGGAGGCACCAAGGUACGCUCAACUCUUGAAGAUCAGCCACUUCUCUUGACCCCAGCCCCUCCCAAUCCCUCAGGUCCUCUUUGGAGAGACUGUGUGUGUGAAUGUGAAGGGUGUAUGCAUCCGCGACUGGGGUUACUCAGGAGGCCAAGGAGCCUGGGGUAGGAUCCACGGAGCCCAGAUACAGGCUCACCAUUCUCAGUUUGCAGUUUGGCCCGUUGGCUGGUGAGGUCGUUGACAGAACGCUGGGUCUCCUCAGCCUUGCUUCGGUGCUCAUUCAUCUGGUCUUCCAGGGUCCUGCACAUCUUCUCCAGGUUGGCCUGAGAGAGGAAGGAGUUAUACAAUGGACGCAGGGGAGCUUUGAGGGGGUCAGGGUGCAAUUAAAAGAGAAAGGAAAGGGGAAAGUGUGGAAGGAAACAGGAAGGGAAAUGGGGAAAUACACUACCAAGGAAGAAAUACGAAGGCAGAAAGCAGAGAUGGGAGGAGGAGAGAGGCUGGGAGGGCUCACCUUGGCCUUGAUGAUCUGCUCCAUGUUGGAGGUGACAUCGUCCAGCUCCAGCUUAAACUCGCUCUUCUCCUUCUCCAGCUUCUGCUUCACCCGCUGCAGGUUGUCGAUCUGCUCGCUGAGCUCGGCCACGCUGUCCGCGUGCUUCUUGCGCAGCGCCGCCGCCGUGGCCUCGUGCUGCAGCGUGGCCUCCUCCAGGUCGCGCCUCAUCUUCUGGAACUCGGCCUCGCGUUUCUUGUUCAUCUCGAUCUGCACGGACGUGGCCCCGCCGGCCUCCUCGAGCCUCUCGCUGAUCUCCUCCAGCUCCCGGGACAGGUCCAUGAUGCUCUCCUGGGUCAGCUUCAGGUCACCCUCCAGCUUCCGCUUUGCCCGCUCCAGGUCCAUGCGCACCUUCUUCUCCUGCUCCAGGGAUCCCUCCAGCUGGUGGAGAGAAGGCCCAGCCAGGGCUGGUGAGGCAAGUGUCCUGAUGUGGUAACAUUGUGGCUUAGUUGGUCUGUGGAUGGGGAAUCCUAGGAUUCACUUGGGAAACCUUUCCCAGAAUGGGUCCAAUGUU
rnacentral:lncRNA from 1 species